UACUGGAUAGCCAAAUCGGUAAGGCACUAGGCUUUGAACCUAGCAAUUGGUGGUUCGAACCCAUCUCCAGUAGCCA
rnacentral:tRNA from 1 species